GACAAACAGGUCAAAUUAAAGUUGGUGUAGUAAAAAAGGAGGUUAUAUAUUUAUUUUGAGAAAUAAUGCUCUUUAGGGAGGUGGAAUUUAGAUAAAGAGAGGUAAUUUAUAUUUUUCUUUUUUUGAGGCCUCGAAAUUUUGUUAUAAAACCGGGAUUAGAUACCCCGUUAUUCAAAAUGUAAACUUUAAUUAUAUUUAUAAUUUACUUGAGUAUUACGAGUAUAAAAGAUGUGUUAUUUUUAUAUUUCUUAAAACUCAAAAAACUUGGCGGUGCCUUAUAUCCUUCCAGGGGAACCUGUCCUAUAAUCGAUAGUCCACGAUUUAACUUUCUUUCUUUUGAAUUUUAAUAUCAGCCUGUAUACCGUCGUCGUCGGGUUACUUUUAAGAACUAUGAAGUUAUCAGCGAGAAUAAAUAGAUUAAUUUAUGGAAAUAGUUAUGGAUUAAUUUAUAUAAUUCUAGACGUCAGAUCAAGGUGCAGCCUAUAGGGAAGUAGAGAUGGGUUACAAUAAUAAAUUAUUAUACGAAUUUUUGUUGUAAUAGCAAAAAUGAAGGUGGACUUGGAAGUAAUUGGUUUAAAGAUGAGAGAGCUUAAAUGAAAAUAGGCUCUGAGGUGCGC
rnacentral:rRNA from 1 species